UAAGUGCCAAAUUGUAUAGUAAGUCUUGAU
rnacentral:piRNA from 1 species